rnacentral:rRNA from 1 species
GAUGAACGCUGGCGGCGUGCCUAAUACAUGCAAGUCGAGCGAACAGACGAGGAGCUUGCUCCUCUGACGUUAGCGGCGGACGGGUGAGUAACACGUGGAUAACCUACCUAUAAGACUGGGAUAACUUCGGGAACCCGGAGCUAAUACCGGAUAAUAUAUUGAACCGCAUGGUUCAAUGGUGAACACCGGUUUUGCUGUCACUUAUAGAUGGAUCCGCGCUGCAUUAGCUAGUUGGUAAGGUAACGGCUUACCAAGGCGACGCUGCGUAGCCGACCUGAGAGGGUGAUCGGCCACACUGGAACUGAGACACGGUCCAGACUCCUACGGGAGGCAGCAGUAGGGAAUCUUCCGCAAUGGGCGAAAGCCUGACGGAGCAACGCCGCGUGAGUGAUGAAGGUCUUCGGAUCGUAAAACUCUGUUAUUUGGGAAGAACAAAUGUGUAAGUAACUAUGCACGUCUUGACGGUACCUAAUCAGAAAGCCACGGCUAACUACGUG